GGAGAAGGGGCCCUCCCAACAUGGUUGAAGGGCAAGUCCCCUCUCUGGGUCGGACACUACCAACAUGGCGAGGGCCGAAUGUGCGUCACUUCUCCACGCCGCAGGCCCCUCGGUUUUGACGUCACGCCCAGCAU